AUUGCCGAAUGGUUAGCAUUUGCGCGUUGUAUCAUAAGGUCUGUCAUUAAGUCAGCUGGCUUGGUUUCGAUUCCCUGUUUGUACGUGACAAGGAGUAGGGUCGUCUGUCCAACCUCGUGUGUUUUUUCUGGGUCCUCCGGUUAGCGAAUUAUUGAAAUAAAAUUGAACCAUAUGUAAGUCCUGAAAUGACCAGGUUUGUGUCGAGUGGACGUUAAACCUCUCUCUCUCUCUCUCUCUCUCUCUCUCUCAUGACUGACUAUUAGUAGUAGAAUAUUGACCAGUGAGAAUACAGCUAGGAAUUUGGAAUCGAGUAGAGGUGCACAUUGGAAAAUAGGCAAGUGCACUAAAAUAACAUGGCAGACACAAUGAAGAGAUGAGAGUAAACCACCACUACCGGAUUGAUUCAGGAUUGUGUGUACUUCUAUAGUUUAUAUGAAAAUGCCAUGAUAACAGCAGGUUUGAUAGAUGAUCCACGUACAAUGGUUGGGAGAUUGAAUAAUUUACUGGAGAAAGCACUGGAGAAACACUGAACUAUCAACCAUCUUUUAGUAAACUAAAAUAUAGUGUAUAUUGCAAGGAUCCUAUGUAGGUGUAGUCAUAUAGAAAAUAAUAAGAUUUAUAACGAGUGGGAUUUGUAUUUGUCUUGAUGGUGGUCAUCUAAUGACAUGCAAGGUUUCUAUCUUGAUGGUGGACAUCUACAUUCUGCCUUAAUGGUCACUUAAACAAUUUUAUAAUAUAAUUUAUCUUCUAUUGUGCUAUUGUAUUCUUUCAUAUCCAUCAAUAAAUACAAUACCUUUAGAAAUAAAA